rnacentral:rRNA from 1 species
CCUACGGGAGGCAGCAGUGGGGAAUAUUGCACAAUGGGGGAAACCCUGAUGCAGCGACGCCGCGUGAGCGAAGAAGUAUUUCGGUUUGUAAAGCUCUGUCAGCAGGGAAGAACAUGACGAUACCAGAGUAAGAAGCUCCGGCUAAAUACGGGCCAGCAGCCGCGGUAAUACGUAUGGAGCAAGCGUUAUCCGGAUUUACUGGUCGUAAAGGGAGCGUAGGCGGCCUGCCAAUUCUGAUGUGAAAUACCGGGGCUCAACCCCGGGGCUGCAGUGGAAACUGGCAGUCUGGAGUGCAGGAGAGGUAGGCGGAAUUCCUAGUGUAGCGGUGAAAUGCGUAGAUAUUAGGAGGAACACCAGUGGCGAAGGCGGCCUGCUGGACGGUGACUGACGCUGAGGCUCGAAAGCGUGGGGAGCAAACAGGAUUAGAUACCCGUGUAGUC